UACGUAGGGUGCGAGCGUUAAUCGGAAUUACUGGGCGUAAAGCGUGCGCAGGCGGUUUUGUAAGCCAGAUGUGAAAUCCCCGGGCUCAACCUGGGAAUGGCAUUUGGGACUGCAAGGCUGGAGUGCGGCAGAGGAGACGUGGAAUUCCUGGUGUAGCAGUGAAAUGCGUAGAUAUCAGGAGGAAUACGAUGGCGAAGGCCAGGUCUCUGGGAGCUG
rnacentral:rRNA from 1 species